rnacentral:rRNA from 1 species
GUACACGCUGUGACUAGCAUAUCAAUAAGCGGAGGAAAAGAAACUAACAAGGAUUCCCCUAGUAACGGCGAGUGAAGCGGGAAGAGCUCAAAUUUGAAAUCUUAAAGGGUUUCCCUUUACGAAUUGUAGUUUAAAGAAGUGUUUUCUGUUGAGGUUUUGGUAAAAGUUCUUUGGAAUAGGACAUCAUAGAGGGUGAGAAUCCCGUAUUUGACCUUUACUUUCAACUUUGUGAUACACUUUUCAAAGAGUCGGAUUGUUUGGGAAUGCAGUCCAAAAUGGGUGGUAAAUUUCAUCUAAAGCUAAAUAUUGGCGAGAGACCGAUAGCGAACAAGUACCGUGAGGGAAAGAUGAAAAGAACUUUGAAAAGAGAGUUAAACAGUACGUGAAAUUGUCAAAAGGGAAGCGUUUGACACCAGUGUUGUUUUUCUGAAAAUCAAUUAAAGAACUGUUUAUGCUAAGCUGUUUAGACUUUAUCAGCUAUCUGUUUAGUUCUAGGCUUUUCUUUAAUGCACUUUUCAGUUAACAAGUCAACAUCAAUUUCUUUUGCUGUAAAAAAGCUUGAGGAAGGUGGCUUGAGAUUCGUCUUAAGUGUUUAUAGCCUCUUGCCUAUGCAGUCGGAGAGAUUGAGGUCUGCAGCGUAGAUCCUUCGGGGCUAAAUGCAUUUGUGCUAAGUUAUAGCAUUUUAUAGACAACUUGUUGACUAUGAUUUGUCUUGUAGCUUACUCGCUUAUGUUAUUUUACCUACGCUUAGGAUGUUGAGCGCAUGUCUCUCUCU